GGAAGGGGACAAGACACAGAUCCAGCUCCAGUCCACCGGGACCUACAGCAAAUACAACUGCGAAUGGCUGGGAGGUGGGAGCAUCCCCAGGGCCACCUUCCACCUCGGAGGACUCCUCUUGACCACCGCAGCCCUGGCAGUGGCCACUGGGAUCAUCUGAGCCACGAGACCACCACGGCUCCAAGGUCAGUGUGGUCACUGUGGCAGCCGUGGCCACCACCAUCACCAAGGCUCCCUCAGCCACAAUGUUGCCACAGCCACUGUGACCAGUGUGGCCAGCAAGGUCAUUGUGCAAACAAUUCUAUUAAACUGUUCUAUCAUAAAAAUUCCAUUAAAGAAUUCUGAAAAAGCCAGCAAAA